AGUAGAAAAUUUUUGGACAGAGAGCAAAUUUUUUGUAAUGUCAGGAACACAUAAGAUAUGAUUGAGCUUGAGUUUGCAACGGGAAUUGGAAAAGUUAAAUUUGGGCCAGGCCUAACUCACCCCAAAAGCUAGCUCAAGGGGGAGGAUUGCCUAUGGCCAAUAUAAGGGGCACAUUACCCCUUUCCACAACCGAUGUGGGAUUCAACACACCCCCUCACGCCCAGAAUUUUACUGGUGCGUGACACAUUUUAUGGGAGGCCUAACAUCGGAUGGGGAGGCUCUGAUACCAAGUUAAAUUUAGGCCAGGCCUAACUCACCCCAAAAGCUAGCUUAAGGGGGAGGAUUGCCUAUGGCCAAUAUAAGGGGCACAAAACAGACUAGAGAGAAUUAGGUUUUUCUAUAUAUUUCGUAUUGAAUAGUACAACUCUAUUUAUACAUCUCUGUAUACAGAGUAGUUACAAAG
rnacentral:lncRNA from 1 species